rnacentral:piRNA from 1 species
UGCAGUAACUGACAAAGAACACUCUGGG